rnacentral:rRNA from 1 species
AACGAACGCUGGCGGCAUGCCUAACACAUGCAAGUCGAACGAGACCUUCGGGUCUAGUGGCGCACGGGUGCGUAACGCGUGGGAAUCUGCCCUUGGGUUCGGGAUAACAGUUGGAAACGACUGCUAAUACCGGAUGAUGACUUCGGUCCAAAGAUUUAUCGCCCAGGGAUGAGCCCGCGUCGGAUUAGCUAGUUGGUGAGGUAAGAGCUCACCAAGGCGACGAUCCGUAGCUGGUCUGAGAGGAUGAUCAGCCACACUGGGACUGAGACACGGCCCAGACUCCUACGGGAGGCAGCAGUGGGGAAUAUUGGACAAUGGGCGAAAGCCUGAUCCAGCAAUGCCGCGUGAGUGAUGAGGGCCUUAGGGUUGUAAAGCUCUUUUACCCGGGAUGAUAAUGACAGUACCGGGAGAAUAAGCCCCGGCUAACUCCGUG